rnacentral:rRNA from 1 species
CCAGCAGCCGCGGUAAUUCCAGCUCCAAUAGCGUAUAUUAAAGUUGUUGCAGUUAAAAAGCUCGUAGUCGGACUUCUGGCCGUGUCGGACGGUCCGCCGCAAGGUGUGCACUGUUCGGGGCGGCCAUCCUCUUGAGGACCGCGUGUGCCCUUCACUGGGUGGGCGCGGGACUCAGGACCUUUACUUUGAAAAAAUUAGAGUGUUCAAAGCAGGCUUACGCUUGAAUACAUUAGCAUGGAAUAAUGGAAUAGGACUUUGGUUCUAUUUUGUUGGUUCUAGGACCGAAGUAAUGAUUAAUAGGGAUAGUUGGGGGCAUUCGUAUUUAAUUGUCAGAGGUGAAAUUCUUGGAUUUAUGAAAGACGAACAUCUGCGAAAGCAUUUGCCAAGGAUGUUUUCAUUGAUCAAGAACGAAAGU